rnacentral:rRNA from 1 species
UAGGGAAUCUUCGGCAAUGGGGGGAACCCUGACCGAGCAACGCCGCGUGAGUGAAGAAGGUUUUCGGAUCGUAAAGCUCUGUUGUUAAGGAAGAACGAGUGUGAGAAUGGAAAGUUCAUGCUGUGACGGUACUUAACCAGAAAGGGACGGCUAACUACGUGCCAGCAGCCGCGGUAAUACGUAGGUCCCGAGCGUUGUCCGGAUUUAUUGGGCGUAAAGCGAGCGCAGGCGGUUAGAAAAGUCUGAAGUGAAAGGCAGUGGCUCAACCAUUGUAGGCUUUGGAAACUGUUUAACUUGAGUGCAGAAAGGGAGAGUGGAAUUCCAUGUGUAGCGGUGAAAUGCGUAGAUAUAUGGGGGAACACCGGUGGCGAAAGCGGCUCUCUGGUCUGUAACUGACGCUGAGGCUCGAAAGCGUGGGGAGCGAACAGG